UUUAACUCCCACCCCUGGCUCCCAAAGCCAGAAUUCUAAAUUAAACUAUCUUCUGA
rnacentral:tRNA from 1 species